rnacentral:rRNA from 1 species
UCGCUCCUACCGAUUUCGAGUGGUCCGGUGAGCCUUUUGGACGGGGGAGCUUGCUCCUCUGAAAAUCAAGCAAACCUUAUCACUUAGAGGAAGGAG